CACUCCCAAUCUAACUCUGAGGCAUUAGAUUAGGAUUUGCUCACUGGUCAGUUUCAGAGUCAUAGUAACCUUGUUAUGCAAUUCUCCUGCUGUUCAGCACGUUGUUUGCAGCUUAUCUAGGUCAACAUUUGAAUUCUGAUAAACAAGAUGUGCGCGUUUUCUUGUUGCCGAUUUAAAAGAAAAGACUUUGCAUCAUAUAAGCAACAAAAAUAAGUGCUGGACUAUUAACUCUACUCGCUACUGUCAGGUCCAUCUUCAUUAUCAACAUCUGAGUUAAAAUUUCAUUCAAAAUGCCACAUUCGAAAGACCCGCCUUUGGUGAAGACAAAAUUUGUGGUGCUACACAAAUAAAGAGCUUAAUUAUAUCAGAGGAUAGACUUCUUAAAUGGGAGCCUUUUCAGUGUUUGUGUGUUUCAGUAAUGGAUCCACCACGCUGCUGAUUCUAUAGUGAACAAAUGUUGGAAUUACAUGCUUUUGCAGAAUCAUAAAUAAGCAGUGACAUCAAUGA